rnacentral:rRNA from 1 species
AGAACGAACGCUGGCGGCAUGCCUAAUACAUGCAAGUCGAACGAACACUUCGGUGUUAGUGGCGCACGGGUGCGUAACGCGUGGGAAUCUGCCCUUGGGUUCGGAAUAACAGUUGGAAACGACUGCUAAUACCGGAUGAUAUCGAAAGAUCAAAGAUUUAUCGCCCAGGGAUGAGCCCGCGUAGGAUUAGCUAGUUGGUGAGGUAAAGGCUCACCAAGGCGACGAUCCUUAGCUGGUCUGAGAGGAUGAUCAGCCACACUGGGACUGAGACACGGCCCAGACUCCUACGGGAGCAGCAGUAGGGAAUAUUGGACAAUGGGCGCAAG